rnacentral:rRNA from 1 species
UACGAGGGGUGCAAGCGUUAUUCGGAUUUAUUGGGCGUAAAGGGUGCGUAGAUGGUUUGUUAAGUCUGCCGUUAAAUUCUCCGACUUAAUCGGAGGUCAGCGGUGGAAACUGGCGAUCUAGAGUGUGAAAGAGAGAAGUGGAAUUCCCGGAGUAGCGGUAAAAUGCACAGAUCUCGGGAGGAACACCAAUGGCGAAGGCAGCUUCUUGGUUCACAACUGACAUUGAGGCACGAAAGCGUGGGGAGCAAACAGG